AGGUAACGGCUCACCAAGGCAUCGACGGGUAGCGGGACUGAGAGGUUGGCCCGCAACAUCGGGACUGAGACACUGCCCGGCCUCCACGGAGGGCUGCAGUAACGAAUAUUGUGCAAUGGGCGAAAGCCUGACACAGCGACGCCGCGUGUAGGAGGAAGUCCCUCGGGAUGUAAACUACUGUCAGGGGGAAGAAAGUGCACUUCGGUGCAUUGAUCUAACCCAGAGGAAGUCACGGCUAACUUCGUGCCAGCAGCCGCGGUAAGACGAAGUGGCAAGCGUUGUUCGGUAUUACAGGGCUUAAAGCGUGUGUAGGCGGAAAAGUAAGCGUUUUGUGAAAGCCCCCGGCUUAACCGGGGAAUUGCGUGACGAACUGCUUUUCUUGAGGCAAGUAGGGGUGCAUGGAACUCUUGGUGGAGCGGUGGAAUGCGUAGAUAUCAAGAGGAACGCCAGCGGUGAAAACGGUGCACUGGGCUUGUCCUGACGCUGAGACACGAAAGCGUGGGUAGCGAACGGGAUUAGAUACCCCGGUAGUCCACGCCGUAAACGAUGCCUACUAGGUUGUGAAAGUUCUGACACUGGCACAGCCGAAGCAAAAGUGAUAAGUAGGCCGCCUGGGGAGUACGGUCGCAAGGCUAAAACUCAAAGGAAUUGACGGGGGCUCACACAAGCGGUGGAGCAUGUGGAUCAAUUCGAAACAACGCGCAGAACCUUACCUGGGUUUGACAUGCUUGGAUGCUUGCCUGGAAACAGGUUAAGUUGCCCUUCGGGGUGAAACUUGCACAGGUGCUGCAUGGCUGUCGUCAGCUCGUGUCGUGAGAUGUCGGGUUAAGUCCUUUAACGAGCGAAACCCUUGCCGUUAGUUGCCAGCGGGUAAUGCCGGGGACUCUAGCGGGACUGCCGGUGUCAAACCGGAGGAAGGUGGGGACGACGUCAAGUCAUCAUGGCCUUUAUGCCCAGGGCCUCACACGUGCUACAAUGGCGACUACAGAGCGAUGCGAGACCGUGAGGUGGAGCAAAUCGCAAAAAAGUCGCCCCAGUUCGGAUUGCAGGCUGACAACUCGCCUGCAUGAAGUUGGAAUCGCUAGUAAUCGCGUAUCAGCUAUGACGCGGUGAAUAUGUUCCUGAGCCUUGUACACACCGCCCGUCAAGUGAUGGGAGUUGGGAGUACCCGAAGUCGGUUUGCUAACCCGCAAGGGAAGCGGCUGCCGACGGUAAGCCCGAUGACUGGCACUAAGUCGUAACAAGGUA
rnacentral:rRNA from 1 species